rnacentral:rRNA from 1 species
AUACCAGCACCCCGAGUGGUCGGGACGUUUAUUGGGCCUAAAGCAUCCGUAGCCGGUUCUACAAGUCUUCCGUUAAAUCCGGCUGCUUAACAGAUGGGCUGCGGAAGAUACUAUGGAGCUAGGAGGCGGGAGAGGCAAGCGGUACUUAGUGGGUAGGGGUAAAAUCCGUUGAUCCACUGAAGACCACCAGUGGCGAAGGCGGCUUGCCAGAACGCGCUCGACGGUGAGGGAUGAAAGCUGGGGGAGCAAACCGGAUUAGAUACCCGGGUAGUCCCAGCUGUAAACGAUGCAGACUCGGUGAUGAAUAGGCUUCGUGCCUUUUCAGUGCCGCAGGGAAGCCGUUAAGUCUGCCGCCUGGGGAGUACGGUCGCAAGACUGAAACUCAAAUGAAUUGGCGGGG